rnacentral:tRNA from 11 species
GCCCUGGGCUUCAAACCUGGUGAGGUCGUCUCGAAGAAAGUGCGCGGUGGUU